rnacentral:lncRNA from 10 species
CUUUGUGCAAACCUGUCCCAUCUCAUGUGAGCUGGACUUGGUGACUAACUUCAGUCAAUAGAAUUAAACAGAAAUCACAUGCGUAAAAUAGAAACUAGGUCAUAAAAGUAGUAUGACAUCACCCGGAAUCUCUCUAUUGCUCUAGUUGUCAUGUCAAAAAACUACUUAGACAGACUAUGAAGAGAUACAUAGGGUGAGAAACGGAGGCCUUCAGCCAACAGCUGGGAGAAGCUGAGUCCCAUCAGCCAUUCAAAAGACUGCAGCCCCAGCCAAGAGUUUGAUGUAACCUCAGGAGAGACCCUGAGCCAGAACCACCUAGAAAAGCUGGGAUACAUGAAGACUGCCAUCCCUUGAGUCACUUGCCCUGUAGCUGCCACUGUUGGAAAAGGGCUUGCUUCUGUGUCCUUGUGCCCACUUUGAAAAUCCCUGGGAAGUCCUUGGAGUCAGAUGAGCAGGCCUCCGCCACUCUGCCAAAAAGUCUGUUCAAUCAGGAGUCCCCAACCCCUGAGCCAUGGACUGAUAUGGAGCUAUGGUCUGUUAGGAACUGGGCUGCCCAGGAGGAGCAAUGGUGCUUCUACAAUUUCCUUAUAGGAGGAGUGAAGAGUAAGCAUUUGGAUUGGACCAGGAUUUGGAGAACUUGUCAUGUUGCUCUACGUGCAUAUGAAAUACAUCAUUGUAACUUAGAAUGU